GAAAAAAUCUCAGUUUUGGCUCUUUUAAGAGCCCUCUUCAAAGAACAGCUCAAAAAAAAUUUUUAAGAGGUGGCUCCAAAUUUUUUUAAAUUUCAAAAAUCUAAAUUUUUUUUUUCUAUUUUUUUUCUC